AGACCCGAAACCCGGUGAUCUAGCCAUGGGCAGGUUGAAGGUUGGGUAACACUAACUGGAGGACCGAACCGACUAAUGUUGAAAAAUUAGCGGAUGACCUGUGGCUGGGGGUGAAAGGCCAAUCAAACCGGGAGAUAGCUGGUUCUCCCCGAAAGCUAUUUAGGUAGCGCCUCGUGAAUUCAUCUCCGGGGGUAGAGCACUGUUUCGGCUAGGGGGCCAUCCCGGCUUACCAACCCGAUGCAAACUGCGAAUACCGGAGAAUGUUAUCACGGGAGACACACGGCGGGUGCUAACGUCCGUCGUGAAGAGGGAAACAACCCAGACCGCCAGCUAAGGUCCCAAAGUCAUGGUUAAGUGGGAAACGAUGUGGGAAGGCCCAGACAGCCAGGAUGUUGGCUUAGAAGCAGCCAUCAUUUAAAGAAAGCGUAAUAGCUCACUGGUCGAGUCGGCCUGCGCGGAAGAUGUAACGGGGCUAAACCAUGCACCGAAGCUGCGGCAGCGAACGUAUCACCCAAGACAACUUUGCGGAGUUGACGAUUGACGGAGCGAAGCGACGUCAAAGCGUUCAUUAAAGUCGAGUUGGCUUAGGGAUACGUUCGUUGGGUAGGGGAGCGUUCUGUAAGCCUGUGAAGGUGUGUCGUGAGGCAUGCUGGAGGUAUCAGAAGUGCGAAUGCUGACAUAAGUAACGAUAAAGCGGGUGAAAAGCCCGCUCGCCGGAAGACCAAGGGUUCCUGUCCAACGUUAAUCGGGGCAGGGUGAGUCGACCCCUAAGGCGAGGCCGAAAGGCGUAGUCGAUGGGAAACGGGUUAAUAUUCCCGUACUUGGUGUUACUGCGAAGGGGGGACGGAGAAGGCUAUGUUGGCCGGGCGACGGUUGUCCCGGUUUAAGCGUGUAGGUGUGUGUUCCAGGUAAAUCCGGUUCACUUUAACACUGAGGCGUGACGACGAGGCACUACGGUGCUGAAGCAACAAAUGCCCUGCUUCCAGGAAAAGCCUCUAAGCAUCAGGUAACAUCAAAUCGUACCCCAAACCGACACAGGUGGUCAGGUAGAGAAUACCAAGGCGCUUGAGAGAACUCGGGUGAAGGAACUAGGCAAAAUGGUGCCGUAACUUCGGGAGAAGGCACGCUGACACGUAGGUGAAGUGAUUUACUCAUGGAGCUGAAGUCAGUCGAAGAUACCAGCUGGCUGCAACUGUUUAUUAAAAACACAGCACUGUGCAAACACGAAAGUGGACGUAUACGGUGUGACGCCUGCCCGGUGCCGGAAGGUUAAUUGAUGGGGUCAGCGCAAGCGAAGCUCCUGAUCGAAGCCCCGGUAAACGGCGGCCGUAACUAUAACGGUCCUAAGGUAGCGAAAUUCCUUGUCGGGUAAGUUCCGACCUGCACGAAUGGCGUAAUGAUGGCCAGGCUGUCUCCACCCGAGACUCAGUGAAAUUGAACUCGCUGUGAAGAUGCAGUGUACCCGCGGCAAGACGGAAAGACCCCGUGAACCUUUACUAUAGCUUGACACUGAACAUUGAGCCUUGAUGUGUAG
rnacentral:rRNA from 1 species